rnacentral:tmRNA from 1 species
GGGGGUGAUCGGUUUCGACUUCGGUGAGCAUGCUGAGGGGAAGCGGGUCGAGGGUUGCUUUGUGACCUCGAUAAUCCUGCAUUGCACUAAACACAAGUGCCGAUAACAAGCGCACUGAGUUCGCUCUCGCUGCCUGAGCGGAGCGUCUCUGUCGGCCCGGGCACGUCAUCGGCCCGGAUCCCGGCAUCAGCUAGAUGACUCACCACCCAGAUCAGGCCACGGGGCCUGGGUGGGACAUCUUCGUGGCUGGGCCUGUCAGCGAUGUGUACGUACAAGCGCUGAGGCCGAGUAGAACGACACUACGUACUGCACCCGGAGAAGCCACGGUGUGGCACUGAAGGACGCGGGUUCGAUUCCCGCCACCUCCAC